AUAUGAGUGUUGUUAGAAAUAAUAGUAUUAUAAUGUACACUUGUCAAUCUAUCCUAAUUAUUAUUGAUAUUGUAUUUUUAGUUUGUGGUUAUCUUAUUCAUACUUGUGGUUAUCGGUGUUAUUGCCCUCGCCCACGCCAUAGGCGUAUAGGCGAUGGUACUGCGAUCAUCCUGUCAGUGUGUGUGUGUGUUCACAAGAUGGCGUCUUCUCUGUUUUUAAACCCCUGCUGCUCUUUUCUAAGGUUCUGAGGAGUCCCACUGUCAACUAAAAUGCUUGGCAAAAGUUGUUUUUUGUCAGUUUUCUUCUUUAUCCGCCUUGUCAGAGGCAGCAUGAGCCAGCAAUGUUGAUAAAUGUUGUGUGAUUUAUAAGCAGCUCUCAGAUGACAAAGGAAAAUUGUCUUAAGUUCUUGAUUCCCAAGAUAUGACAGCUCAUAAAUCACUUACCAGUCUUUUCGCCAAAUGCAGAUCACGUGAGAAUUUAUUUUCCCCAUGACGUCAUAAUGGCGGGAAAGUAAUGGCUGGCCUUGUGUUGCUUUUUGUGCAAUUGAUAUGAUGCUGGAUGGUUUAUAGUUCUAUAUAACAGCCUCAAACUGAAAGCAAGGAUGUGUAGAAUCAUUAGUGAAACAGACCAGAACAGUUCAAUAUUAGUGAUGCAAUUGGCCAAUCAAUAGAUGAUCUUGUAUGCAAAGAUUU